rnacentral:lncRNA from 1 species
GUAGCCACUGGCCUAUGCCACAGCCACAGCAAUGUGGGGUCCGAGCCAAGUCUGCAACCUACACCACAGCUCACAGCAAUGGCAGAUCCUUAACGCACUGAGCAAGGCAAGGGAUCGAACUCACUUCCUCAUGGAUACUAGUACAGUUCAUUAUUUCUGAGCCAUGAUGGGAACUCCAUGUAAGAAGCUGAAAUUAAUCACUGAAUUCAUAAGGUUAAUGAUAAGGUUAGAAUCAUCUAAACAAAUGGAUUAGUCUUUGAUCUGAAUAGAGAAGCUUAAAGUAGCUAAGUUAAUCUUUUCUAAAAAGGAAAGACAGCAAAAAUUUUUAAAUACUGGAAAUGAUUCUGGAAAUCACUGCAACUAAUUUCCUGUAGUUAAUGUUUGUGUUUUUUCAUCCCACAGCUGUUAACCAUUUUUGGUUAUAAGUUUGCAAAAACAAAUCACAAAUAAAAAUCAUAAGCAACCAAAACUGCAUUAAAGUUUUUUGCUACAAUCCCAUUUUAUGGUACAUACAUAAUAUUAUCCACUUGAAAUCUAUUAAAGUUUGGAAACAAAUGAAUUCCUACAACUUACUGGGUUUAUUAAGGACUAUAGGGCGGAAAAAAAAAUCUCAGUGACCAACUGUCUGUAUUUCCUCCCAAAUACUUCAAUAAAAAGGAUAGGUGAACUCAUGAGACAAAUAUAAUACAUUGAGAAAAUCGGUUGAAGUCACAAAAACUAAAGCUUCUUUAAAAGAAAACCCAGUUUCUCUUUAACACUGAAUUACUUUUCUUUCCUUCAUAACACCAUCUUUUGGUAAAAGAACUGUCUUACCUUGGCCUUAAUUACUUCUCUUACAUGGUCUUUAACUUACUGCAACUGACUUAAUUCUCUUGAAUUUGUUUUCCUCAAAUUGUACUGUAUAAAUAAUACCAAACAGGAAUAGAUGGCGUGUAAAAAACAUUUUCAGAUAUUCUUCUAAAUGCUUUACUUGCAUUUAUUUAUUUAAUCCUAACAAGAGCCCUAGGAGGCAAUUACCUUUAUUUAUACCUGUUCUUUGGAGUGUGGAAAUUGGAAAACAAAGAUUCAGUAUUUUGUGGCAGACCUAGGAUCUGAUCCCAGUAGUCUAGUUCCAUGCGCUUAACCACAGUGACCCACUAAUUUUUCAAUCAGUGAUCAUCCUUAUAAAACAGUGUACAGGAGUUCCCGUCGUGGCGCAGUGGUUAACGAAUCCGACUAGGAACCAUGAGGUUGCGGGUUCAGUCCCUGCCCUUGCUCAUUCUCCCACAGACAUAUACUCACAGGUGCAGAUGUACUGUGUGCUCUACAUUACUCUAAAGUAGGGGCAGACAGCAUUUCCCCUGCAGUGUUAUCGAAGGGCUUUAUUACAGUUUCUAUCGCAGGCUCUGGGUAGCUCUGAAACGGAUCCUCCCACCCAAUCAGCUCUGACCAGCGCUAUAACAAGGUAAGCAUCCCCAGCACUGAUAUCUCUCCCUUGAUGAAAUGACAGCAUGAAAAUAAAAAUAACUGCUUUACAAGAGCCUUUCCAUAGUCAGGAAAAGUCCACACAGAGGGCCCUUUAAAAUGACCCUUUCUAAAGAAAGGCGAAGAGGUUGCAAAGGCUGGAAGAGGCAGAAACAUGAGGACAAAUCAGGCCAAAGGGCAAAGGCAUGUGCUAUGCUUGACUUUACAUGCAGGGCACAAUCAGUCAUAUGAAUUUAUGAUAUUAAACUUGCAGUUUAUGUGCUGAAGAUUUCCAUAUUAUUAAGGAAAUUUUACAACAGAAACAAAAGUAGACAAAAUAAUAUAAUGAACUUUCAGGUACUUCCCACUCAGUUUUAAAAAUUAUUGGAGUUUCCGUUGUGGCUCAGUGGAAAUAAAUCUGACUAGUAUCCAUGAGUACGCAGGUUCGAUCCCAGGCUUCACUCAGUGGGUUAAGGAUUCAGCGUUGCCAUAAGCUGUGGUGUAGAUUUCUGACACGGCUCGGAUCCCACUUUGCUAUGGCUGUGGUGUAGGCCCGCAGCUGCAGCUCCGAUUCGACCCUAAAUCCCUAGCCUGGGAACCUCCAUAUCCGUGGGUGCUGCCCUAAAAAGACAAAAAAAAAAAAAAAAAAAAAA